rnacentral:rRNA from 1 species
CCUACGGGUGGCAGCAGUAGGGAAUCUUCCACAAUGGGCGAAAGCCUGAUGGAGCAACGCCGCGUGGGUGAAGAAGGUCUUCGGAUCGUAAAACCCUGUUGUUAGAGAAGAAAGUGCGUGAGAGUAACUGUUCACGUUUCGACGGUAUCUAACCAGAAAGCCACGGCAAACUACGUGCCAGCAGCCGGGGUAAUACGUAGGUGGCAAGCGUUAUCCGGAUUUAUUGGGCGUAAAGGGAACGGGGGGGGUCUUUUAGGUCUGAUGUGAAAGCCUUCGGCUUAACCGGAGUAGUGCAUUGGAAACUGGGAGACGUGAGUGCAGAAGAGGAGAGUGGAACUCCAUGUGUAGCGGUGAAAUGCGUAGAUAUAUGGAAGAACACCAGUGGCGAAAGCGGCUCUCUGGUCUGUAACUGACGCUGAGGUUCGAAAGCGUGGGUAGCAAACAGGAUUAGAUACCCUGGUAGUC